rnacentral:lncRNA from 1 species
CUGAGCACAGACAGUUUGACUCAGUGAUCUUCAAGAUUCAUCUUGUUCUGUGGGCAUGGCGUCUAGUGCCACAAGAGAGGAGCGAAGCUCUCUGGGAGCCCAGAAAGCACCCCAGAUUCCGGGAAUCAGAAGAGGUGUUGCAGCUCUGAAGAAUAAGGAGGAUCUGCACAGGCCCAGGAGAUGAGAAAAGCGCCAAGUUGCCAGGAAGCAGCAGAACCAGGACUAUCUGACUCAGUUCCAUUCACAGCGUGAUCUUAAAUGAGAAGACUCCCUCUGACACUUCUGUGGACAGAAUGAGGAGAAAAAAAUGAGCUAGUUGCAGCAAGAAGGCUUCAUGUCAGACCUCAAGAAGGACUUCCAGAAUGUGG